rnacentral:SRP_RNA from 2 species
GCCAGGCAUGAUGGCUCAUGCCUGUAAUCCCAACACUUUGGGAGGCUGAGGUGGGUGGAUCACUUGAGGUCAGGAGUUCAAGACUAGCCUGACCAAAAUGGUGAAACCCCGUCUCUA